rnacentral:rRNA from 1 species
CGCAGCCUGAUCCAGCCAUGCCGCGUGAGUGAAGAAGGCCUUCGGGUUGUAAAGCUCUUUCAGCUGGAAAGAAAUCGUAUCUAUUAAUACUAGGUGCGGAUGACGGUACCAGCAGAAGAAGCACCGGCUAACUACGUGCCAGCAGCCGCGGUAAUACGUAGGGUGCGAGCGUUAAUCGGAAUUACUGGGCGUAAAGCGUGCGCAGGCGGCUUUUUAAGCCAGAUGUGAAAUCCCCGGGCUUAACCUGGGAACUGCAUUUGGAACUGGAAGGCUAGAGUGUAGCAGAGGGGGGUAGAAUUCCACGUGUAGCAGUGAAAUGCGUAGAGAUGUGGAGGAAUACCGAUGGCGAAGGCAGCCCCCUGGGCUAACACUGACGCUCAUGCACGAAAGCGUGGGGAGCAAACAGGAUUAGAUACCCUGGUAGUCCACGCCCUAAACGAUGUCAACUAGGUGUUGGGGAAGAGAUUCUUUAGUACCGCAGCUAACGCGUGAAGUUGACCGCCUGGGGAGUACGGUCGCAAGAUUAAAACUCAAAGGAAUUGA